UACAGAGGGGGCAAGCGUUGUUCGGAAUCACUGGGCGUAAAGCGCACGUAGGCGGAUCUUUAAGUCAGGGGUGAAAUCCUGGAGCUCAACUCCAGAACUGCCUUUGAUACUGGGGAUCUCGAGUCCGGGAGAGGUGAGUGGAACUGCGAGUGUAGAGGUGAAAUUCGUAGAUAUUCGCAAGAACACCAGUGGCGAAGGCGGCUCACUGGCCCGAUACUGACGCUGAGGUGCGAAAAGCGUGGGGAGCGAACAGG
rnacentral:rRNA from 1 species